GGGAAGCGAGCCUGUGAAGGGGAGGCAAAUCCCAAAAAUAACGUCCCAGUUCGGAUUGUAGUCUGCAACCCGACUACAUGAAGCUGGAAUCGCUAGUAAUCGCGGAUCAGAAUGCCGCGGUGAAUACGUUCCCGGGUCUUGUACACACCGCCCGUCACACCAUGGGAGCCGGAAAUGCCCGAAGUCAGUGACCCAACCGCAAGGAGGGAGCUGCCGAAGGUGGAGCUGGUAACUGGGGUGAAGUCGUAACAAGGUACC
rnacentral:rRNA from 1 species